UCUGCGGUAGGCCUGGGGUAGAGCUAGGUAGGCCCUACUUCCUCCAUCAACAUGGUUAUGGUUCCUCGGCGUGAGGUUUACUCUGCGGUAGGCCUGGGGUAGAGCUAGGUAGGCCCUACUUCCUCCAUCAACAUGGUUAUGGUUCCUCGGCGUGAGGUUUACUCUGCGGUAGGCCUGGGGUAGAGCUAGGUAGGCCCUACUUCCUCCAUCAACAUGGUUAUGGUUCCUCGGCGUGAGGUUUACUCUGCGGUAGGCCUGGGGUAGAGCUAGGUAGGCCCUACUUCCUCCAUCAACAUGGUUAUGGUUCCUCGGCGUGAGGUUUACUCUGCGGUAGGCUGGGGUAGAGCUAGGUAGGCCCUACUUCCUCCAUCAACAUGGUUAUGGUUCCUCGGCGUGAGGUUUACUCUGCGGUAGGCCUGGGGUAGAGCUAGGUAGGCCCUACUUCCUCCAUCAACAUGGUUAUGGUUCCUCGGCGUGAGGUUUACUCUGCGGUAGGCUGGGGUAGAGCUAGGUAGGCCCUACUUCCUCCAUCAACAUGGUUAUGGUUCCUCGGCGUGAGGUUUACUCUGCGGUAGGCCUGGGGUAGAGCUAGGUAGGCCCUACUUCCUCCAUCAACAUGGUUAUGGUUCCUCGGCGUGAGGUUUACUCUGCGGUAGGCCUGGGGUAGAGCUAGGUAGGCCCUACUUCCUCCAUCAACAUGGUUAUGGUUCCUCGGCGUGAGGUUUACUCUGCGGUAGGCUGGAGUAGAGCUAGGUAGGCCCUACUUCCUCCAUCAACAUGGUUAUGGUUCCUCGGCGUGAGGUUUACUCUGCGGUAGGCCUGGGGUAGAGCUAGGUAGGCCCUACUUCCUCCAUCAACAUGGUUAUGGUUCCUCGGCGUGAGGUUUACUCUGCGGUAGGCUGGAGUAGAGCUAGGUAGGCCCUACUUCCUCCAUCAACAUGGUUAUGGUUCCUCGGCGUGAGGUUUACUCUGUGGUAGGCUGGAGUAGAGCUAGGUAGGCCCUACUUCCUCCAUCAACAUGGUUAUGGUUCCUCGGCGUGAGGUUUACUCUGCGGUAGGCUGGAGUAGAGCUAGGUAGGCCCUACUUCCUCCAUCAACAUGGUUAUGGUUCCUCGGCGUGAGGUUUACUCUGCGGUAGGCUGGAGUAGAGCUCGGUAGGCCCUACUUCCUCCAUCAACAUGGUUAUGAUUCCUCGGCGU